rnacentral:rRNA from 1 species
CUGGCUCAGGAUUAACGCUGGCGGCAUGCCUAAUACAUGCAAGUCGAAUGGAAGAGCUUGCUUUCCAUGGCGGACGGGUGAGUAACACGUAGGUAACCUACCUUAAGGACGAGGAUAACCUUUGGAAACGAAGGAUAAUACUGGAUAGGACAUUACAAAGCACAUGCUUAAAUGUUUAAAGGAGCAAUCCACCAUAAGAGGGGCCUGCGGCGCAUUAGCUAGUUGGUGAGAUAAAGGCCCACCAGGCGAUGAUGCGUAGCUGGACUGAGAGGUUGAACAGCCACAAUGGGACUGAGAACGGCCCAUACUCCUACGGGAGGCAGCAGUAGGGAAUUUUCGGCAAUGGGCAAAAGCCUGACCGAGCAAUGCCCGCGUGAUCGAAGAAGUAUUUCGGUAUGUAAAGAUCUUUUAUCAGGGAAGAAAAAACAAAUUGACUGAACCUGAUGAAUAAGCUCCGGCUAACUACGUGCCAGCAGCAGC